rnacentral:rRNA from 1 species
UAGCUGCAUUAUUUGACGUUAGCGACAGAAGAAGCACCGGCUAACUCCGUGCCAGCAGCCGCGGUAAUACGGAGGGUGCGAGCGUUAAUCGGAAUUACUGGGCGUAAAGCGCAUGCAGGUGGUUUGUUAAGUCAGAUGUGAAAGCCCGGGCUCAACCUCGGAAUUGCAUUUGAAACUGGCAGACUAGAGUACUGUAGAGGGGGUAGAAUUUCAGGUGUAGCGGUGAAAAUGCGUAGAGAUCUGAAGGAAUACCGGUGGCGAAGGCGGCCCCCUCGGACAGAUACUGACACUCAGAUGCGAAAAGCGUGGGGAGCAAACAGGAUUAGAUACCCUGGUAG